rnacentral:RNase_P_RNA from 1 species
GAAGACGACUGGACAGUCGCCGGCCAUGUAAAUGGCGGGAGGAAAGUCCGGGCUCCAUAGAGCAAGGUGCCAGGUAAUGCCUGGGGGGCGUGAGCCCACGGAAAGUGCCGCAGAAAAUAUACCGCCUUCGGGUAAGGGUGAAAAGGUGCGGUAAGAGCGCACCGCAUCCCUGGUAACAGUGGAUGGCAGGGUAAACCCCACCUGGAGCAAGACCAAAUAGGGAUCCUUUGGCGUGGCUCGCGCUGGAUCCGGGUAGGUUGCUUGAGCGCGUCAGCGAUGGCGCGCCUAGAUGAAUGACUGUCCACGACAGAACCCGGCUUAUAGGUCGUCUUCACCU